rnacentral:rRNA from 1 species
AAGGCUAAAUACUCCUGACUGACCGAUAGUGAACCAGUACCGUGAGGGAAAGGCGAAAAGAACCCCGGCGAGGGGAGUGAAAAAGAACCUGAAACCGUGUACGUACAAGCAGUGGGAGCCCCACCACCAAAGCAUUCUCUGGUGUUGAAGGCCCUGCAAAGCAGCAUCGCGGUGGCGGAGCGUCGUUUGCGACGCCCAACACACAAAACAAGCGGUGAGUGCUUUGGGGUGGGGUGACUGCGUACCUUUUGUAUAAUGGGUCAGCGACUUAUAUUCUGUAGCAAGGUUAACCGAAUAGGGGAGCCGCAGGGAAACCGAGUCUUAAUUGGGCGUUAAGUUGCAGGGUAUAGACCCGAAACCCGGUGAUCUAGCCAUGGGCAGGUUGAAGGUUGGGUAACACUAACUGGAGGACCGAACCGACUAAUGUUGAAAAA